AAAAACAUCGCCUCCCGCAAAUAUUUUAACGUAUGGGAGGUCUUGCCUGCCCAGUGAAUUAGUUUAAACGGCCGCGGUAUCUUGACCGUGCAAAGGUAGCGCAAUCACUUGUCUUUUAAAUGAAGACCUGUAUGAAUGGCGGAACGAGGGCUUAACUGUCUCCCCCCUCAGGUCAGUGAAAUUGAUCUGUCCGUGCAGAAGCGGACAUACACAUACAAGACGAGAAGACCCUUUGGAGCUUAAGACACCAAGGCCAACUAUGUCAAAAACCUAUCCAAACUAGAUUAAACUAAAUAAUAACUGGCCUCCGUCUUCGGUUGGGGCGACCACGGGGGAAAACAAAGCCCCCAUGAGGACUGGGAUAAAUCCUAAAACCAAGAGAGACAUCUCUAAGUCACAGAACAUCUGACCACACAGAUCCGGCCUCACGGCCGAUCAACGAACCAAGUUACCCUAGGGAUAACAGCGCAAUCCCCUCCCAGAGUCCUUAUCGACGAGGGGGUUUACGACCUCGAUGUUGGAUCAGGACAUCCUAAUGGUGCAGCCGCUAUUAAGGGUUCGUUUGUUCAACGAUUAAAGUCCUACGUGAUCUGAG
rnacentral:rRNA from 1 species